rnacentral:lncRNA from 1 species
CGUGCGCGGCGUCUGGGCGCGCCCGGGAGUUCGCGGGUCACGUGCCCUGGCGGCCGGGGGCGGAGCCGGGUGGGACUGGGCGCCUGCGCGUUCGUACCCGGUCCGGGUCGGCUGGGCUGCCCGCCGCUCCGCGCGCCCGGGCGGUCGCAGGUCGCGCCUGCUUUGGCCCCGGCGGGUUCGGCAUCCGAGCCUGGCAGGGGCCAAUAGGUAGGGUCGCGAGGGUCCUCCCCGGCCGCAUGCGCAGUCUGAGCGCGCGCGGGGUAGGGCUCUUGGCCUGGGGUGGGGGCGCGGGCAUCAGCAGAGCCAGGCGGCGGUGUCGGGGCGCGAAGGUGCCCGUGGUGUUCCGGUGGCCACACCCGAGGAGCAGGGGAGACCGGGGGGCUGCGGGGUCAGAAGCUCCGGGUGUCCCCGGAGACUAGGAGGGGGACGGCGGGGUCCAGGAGGCGGGGUGGGCUCCGCCGGCCCAGGACGGGGGCGUCGCGGGGAGGCCUGCAGGGUUGUGGGGCGUCGGGCUGAGCUCCUGGGAGGACGGAGUGUCACUUCCUGAGAUGGGGACACCUCGGGCGUGCUGGCUUUGGUGAGGAGAAUUGAAGCAGUUUUUCUUUUUUUUUUUUUUUUUUUGAGACAGGGCCUCUGGAGUGCAGUGGCGUGAUCUCGGCUCACUACAGCGUCUGCCUACCGUGUUCAAGCGAUCCUCCCACCUCAGCCUGUUGAGCAACCGGGACCCCAGGUGCACACUCCACCACGCCCAGCUAAUUUUUUUGUGUUUUGGGUAGAGAGGGGGUCUCACUGUGUUGUCCAAGCUGGUCUCGAACUCCUGAUCUAAAGCGAUCUGCCUGCCUUGGCCUCCCAAAGUGCGAGGACUACAGGCGUGAGCCACCGCGCCUGGCCUGAAGCAGUUUUUCCUUAGACUGUAGUUGGAGGGGGUGAGACCACGUGGAGUGGUUGGCAGACAGGCAGGCACCCUUUGAGGCCAAAAGGGCGCUUGAGACAGAGCCAGCAGGCGAGCGGGCCGCCCAGGUCCCUGGCCCCCUGCUGCCAGUAUGAAGGUCCCACCAAGCCUCUGCUCCAACCAGGGGAACCGUCAUGGUUGGGAACAGCCAAGGUGAGGAAUUCUGUGGGUCACACCCCCUGAAAACCACUGGCCUCCGCCGGGCGCGGUGGCUCACGCUUGUUAUCCCAACACUUUGGGAGGCCCAGGCGGGUGGAUCACGAGGUCAGGAGUUCAAGACCAGCCUGGCCAAGAUGGUGAAACCCCGUCUCUACUAAGAAAAAUACAAAAAUUAGCAGUGGCAGCACCUGUCAUCCAAGCUACUUGGGAGGCUGAGGCGGGAGAAUCACGUGAACCCAGCGGGGGCAGAGGUUGCAAUGAACCAAGAUUGCGCCACUGCACUCCAGCCUGGGCGACAGAUUGAGACUCCUUCUCAAAAAAAAAAAAAAGCCACUGGCCUCUGGCUCCCCCUGGCCCAGCCUGGAGAAGGGUCCCUGACCCCCGUCAGACAAGCAGUGCACCCUGCCUCACCUGACACAGAGCCCUCCCACCACAGGGGAAGUGGGAGCUGGGAGCUCCUGGUACAGGCAAGGCCGAGAGUUGGGUUAGGGAGCAGAGGACGGAGCUGAGUGAGUGUCCAGUGUUAGGUGGGUGGGGGUGUUAGUGGAUGGAGGUGUCUGAAGCCUCGCAGGCCUGCGGUCACACCACAGGCUGGGCCUAGCCGCUUGGAGAGCUUUCUGGAUCUGCACAGGAUCUUGUCCCCCACAGACACACACUGUGGGCCUCAAACCCGGGAGCAGGAGGGGCAGGUUGGAGCAGGUCUACCUGCUUGCCCAGCCCCACCUGCACUGGCCCCAAGGUGUCCCUGAUGGAGCUGAGCUGGACCAGCCACAGGUGCAGGGCUGAGUCUGCAGCAGCCCCCUCCCCAUUCCUCUUCCCCUCCCCCAAGUUAGAACAGCAGUAUGGAGGAGGAAGCUGGAAGCCAGGCUUGGCCCUCACGCUGGCGGCAAGUCUAAUGCGUGUGUGUGCACCUGUGUCCACAGGUGGUGUGCCCCCUAGUGUACCCUUGGGUCCCCACCGUAGUCCAAGGUGUCAUGUCUGUGUGUGGGCAUCGCUGGUUCCCGGCACAGCCAAUCCUGGGAAAGUGCAUGUCCCUCAUGGCAUUCGGAGUCAGGGUGGCCAGCCAGGGCCCCACCAGCAAGCCAUAGCAUCAGCCCAAGGGCAGCAGCCAGCCAGGAGGCAGGAACCGCACCCGAAGUUCCUAGGCGUCCCGAGUCUCCUGUGGGCAAGAUCACCCUUGUACCCUCACUGCUGAGCCCUGGAGUGUGGGUGCCCCCAGGUGGUCUGUUGCUGCUCCGCUACUCCGCAGCAGCCCCCAACCCUGUGUGCCCACCCAGGGUGCCGCCAUCUCCUCCCCUGCAAGAGGCCAGCCUCUGCUCCGCGCCUCUCUAUCCCCAGCAGGUGGGAAAGGGUGCUUCCAGGGUACUGCUAUCUCCCCCGCUCCAAGAGGCCAGCCUCUGCUCCCCGCCUCUCUACCCCUGGCUGGUGGGAAAGGGUGCUCCUCAGGCCCUGUUUAGGGCUGACAUUGGGCCAGGUGACAGGACACCUGGGCAUGAUUGGGCAGCUAUUGGGGAGCCAUGGGCAGAGCACCUGAGGUCUGCAGUCAGCAGCCCAGUCCGGGUGAUGCCUCCUGGGAAGGGGCCCAGACUUGGGGGUAACGGCGUCACUGAUGUGGGUCCCUGGCCCCACUGUGGGGUGUCCAGGGUUGUGCCUAUUGGACCGCCCGCCUCACCAUCCCACGCUACUGAGCCUCCUUCCUCAGCCAUUGUCCAGCUUCGUGUCAAGUCCUGGCGUGGGGCUCACCGCCUGCCCCUUGACCGUGGAGUUCGGACGCGUCUCACAGUGAGUGCCCCAGCAGAGCAGGGUUGGGUGCUGAGCAUCAGCAGCUCUGCCAGAGCAAGUGGCAAUUCCCUGGAACCUGGGGUCUUGCCUUUGUUUGGAGACCGAGAGACUCACAGUGUGGGAGGGUCACAGGACAUGUCAUCAGCAGUGAAAAGGUUUUGUUCCGUUUCCUGCCUUCAGAACUUGCACGUGCUGGAAUCCAAGGAUGGGUGGGAGAGGGGCCGUUCCUGGAGAUGUCUGCCCUUCGGGGCUGGCCCAUGCCACAGGACCUCCCAUCACCCCUGCUGCCUUGGUUGGUGAAUUCGGGGCAUGCUGAGCCUUUCCCUUGCAGCCUUUGCACUUGCUACUCUUCCCUCCGCUUAUCAAACUCCUAACCAUCCCUCGAAGUCCAUGGGCACCAGAAGCACCGCCUCAGAGACUCACAGACUCAGAUGUACAGAUGUCCCUCAGUAUCCAUGCGGAAUUGAUUCCAGGACCCCUGCAGAUGCUCAAGUCCCUGCUAUAAAAUAGUGUAGUGUUUGGCCAGGCAUGGUGGCUCACGCCUCAAAAAUUAGCUGGGCGUGGUGGUGGGAACCUGUAAUCCCAGCUACUCAGUAGGCUGAGGGAGGUGAAUUACUUGAACCCAGGAAGCGGAGGUUGCAGUUAUCCAAGAUUGCGCCACUGCACUCCAGCCUGGGCGACAGAGCAAGACUUGGUCUCAAAAAAAAAAGGGCGGGGGGCUGUGCGCAGUGGCUCACACCUGUAAUCCCAACAGUUUGGGAGGCUGAGGCGGGGGGAUCACGAGGUCAGGAGUUCGAAACCAGCCUGAAACCCCGUCUCUACUAAAAAUACAAAAAAUUAGCCGGGCAUGGUGGCGUGCCUGUAAUCCCAGCUACUUAGGAGGCUGAGGCAGGAGAAUCGCUUAAACCCAGGAGGCGGAGGUUGCAGUGAGCAGAGAUCAUGCCAUUGCACUCUAGCCUGGGCGACAGAGCAAGACUCCAUCUCAAAAAAAAAAAAAUGGUGUAGUGUUUGCAUAUAACCUACACGUGUCCUUCUGUGUACUUUAACUCAUUUCUAGAUUACUUAUAAUACCUAAUACAAUGUAACUGCUGUGGGAAGAGUUGCUAUAUUGUGUUGUUUAGGAAAUAACAAGAAAAAAAAAAGCACAACCACCCAUGUUUGUUUUUUCAAAUAUUUAACAUCCUUGCUUGGUUGAAUCCACGGAUGCGGAACCCAUAGAUCCUGAGGGCCGACUCUACCCCCUUCUGAGAACAUCCCCCACAGAUGGCUGCCCUGGGUGCCCUCUGUUAGCUCAGCCCGACUACCAGGUGGACCUCAGGUUGAGGGCUGGGACCAGGAGACAUGGGCUUCUUUCUUGGGAAGGGGCAUGUUGGGCAGUCCUCGACGUGGCCCAGACAGGGCCCUUUCCCAGCGGGGUCUCAGCCAGGUUCCCCUUUCACCAAGGCUGGGCUGGGUGGAGUCUGGAUAGUUAGACCCCAGCACCUGUGAGUCACGCAGACCCAGAAGCAGGAAGCAGACAGUAAGUGACAGCCGCUAAGACGCAGGGAGGCUGGGCCAGGGCUGGGGCACGAGGGUACCUUCACCUGGGCGUCAGAAGCACUUGAGAGGACAGGGGCUGCUGGCUCUAUGUCUGCCCCCCUAGGCUGGCAUGAACUGGCCAGAGACGUCAGACGUGGUACAUGCCGGCCUCUGUGGCCUGGAGGGGCUUGCAACAAGGAGGCAGGCCCUGUCCCAAGCUGGCCUAGCCUAGUGUCCAGGACAUGGAGGACAGGGUGCAGCAGCCCCGGGGAGGGGUGGGGCCGUUCCCUCCCAAGCACACUUCUGGAGCUGCUGCAGUCGGGGGUGACCCUAACCUACCUUGUGCCUUCCUUCCCAUGUGCCGGGGCGGGUCCCACACACCUCUCUCCUGCCCCGACUGGCUCCCACCUGGGGCACGCAGUUGGGCAACCCAGGCCCUGCUCUGCCCGUCGAGCCUCCAGGGCAAGUGCAAGCUCAGCCUGGGCCUGGAGACGGCGGAUCGGAGCGUGUCCAGGUGCUCAGGGACUGGUCACCGAAAGGCAAGGAGCCCUCCCUGGGACGAGGGAGACACCCAAGAGUCAGGCCGGGACCUGCAGCGGACCGGGGUGGGAGUCUGCAGCAGAAAGUGCCCCCAUGGGCCUUGCUCACUGUGCCCUGCUUCUGGAGGAUUCCGCCUGGGACCCUGCCCGUGUCCAGGGGAGGGCCCGGAGGUGAUCAGCAGCCUCACCAAGAAUGCACUAGGGUGGGAGUCCCGGGAGAGGAGUCGCACCCUCUCAGCAGUGGGGAGGGGAUGCUGGAGAGGAAAACAGAGAAACCUCCCCCUAGCUCACCCCGUUCUGCACUGGGUGAUAAAUACUACGUGCACCCUAGGAAGCCACGUGUGUCACUGGCUGCUAACACGAGGAUGGGGGACUUGAGAUGCUGGUGCAGGUUCCCAGCAAGGCUCAGAGCUGCGGGUCUCCAGGGAGUUCCCGCAGAGCCUGGGGGGCACAGCCUGCCUCAGACAGUCCCCGGACCCCAGACCCGUGGACACCUCUGUCCCCAGAGAUGAUGCUGCGCGUUGGAGCUUUCCUGCUUUUUUCCCGUUUUCCAGAUUUCCUUAUAAGCGAUUUGACUUCACAGCGUGACCUUUUUAUAUACAUUUUAUAUCUGGUAUUUGUUUAGACCUUAGAAGUGUUCUGAGGCCGGGCGUGUGGCUCAUGCCUGUGAUCCCAGCACUUUGGGUGGCUGAGGUGGACGGAUCACCUGAGGUCAGGAGUUUGAGACCAUCCUGGCUAACGUGGUGAAACCCCGUCCCUACUAAAAAUAACAAAAUUAGCCGGGCGUGGGGGUGGGCGCCUGUAGUCCCAGCUACUCUGGAGGCUGAGGCAGGAGAAUGGCGUGAACCCGGGAGUCGAGAUCGCGCCACUGCACUCCAGCCUGGGCAACAGAGCAAGAGUCCGUCUCAAAAAAAAAAAAAAAAAGUGUUCUGUAAUAAAAGUGAACUGAUAAGUUCUGGGCAUCCCUGAGAAUUUGUUUUCCUUUCAGAAAGUUUCCUACACUACUGAGGUUUAGGGGCACUGUGAAGCAAAAGCCACGCCUCAGAAUCCCAGGCGGAGACUCCGACCUCGUCCCGGGAGGGAAGCCAGUAGCUGAGCACCUGCGGGAGAUUAAAGAGAGGAAUAAGGAGGUGAGUACAUGACAAAGAGCCACAGUCGCAGGCGGUGGGGCCUGGCUCAGAACAGGCUGUGCUGGGAAGCGGGAGCAGGAGCUGGCGCCGCCUUGCGGGCUGGCAGAGGACCAUCCACUCCCUGGCGCUGGGGCCGUCCCAUCUCAUGGGCAAGAAACGUGAGACCCCUGGCUCGCUCCACACACAACCUAAGUGCCAGAUGGAUGAGACGCCUACGCGUGAGUAAAUGCCAGGAACAUGAGACUCGAACGUGGCAGGAUAUCCUUCUGCCCACGAAUCUAAAAGCUUACUCGGUAAUGGGAGAAUGGUUCCAAUUUGAUAAACUCGGGUUUUUGGAACGUCUGUGCUCCAGAAACACUGGAAGGCAAGUGGCUGCUGACUGGAGGAGAUAAUUGGAUGCUGCAAGCGGCAAAGGGCUCGGGAUGCAAAACACCGCAAGAAAUGCAACAAGUGAGGAGCAUUCCCGCAAAGAAAAAACGCACAGGCCGAGAGCAGUGGCUCACGCCUGUAAUCCCAGCAGUUUGGGAGGCCGAGGCAGGUGCAUCGCUUGAGGACAGGAGUUCGAGACUAGGCUGGCCAACAUGGUGAAACCCCAUCUCUACUAAAAAUACAAAAAAAAAAAAAAAAUUAACCGGCUGUGGUGGCGAGUUCCUGUGGUCCCAGCUACUCGGGAGGCUGAGGCAGGAGAAUCGCUUGAACCUGGGAGACAGAGGUUGCAGUGAGCCAAGAUCGUGUCACUGCACUCCAGCCUGGGCAACAGAGUGAGACUCUGUCAAAAAAGAAAAAAAAAAUUGCACAAAUGGCACAAAGAGGAAAAAUCAAAUGGUGAGACCCAAAUAGCCAGGAGCUUUCUUUCUUUUUUUUUUUUUUUCUCCUUUCCUUUUUUCCAUCCUUUUAUCAGCCAUAAAAAGGAAGGGAAGGUUGGGCUGGGCACAGUGGCUCAUGCCUGUAAUCCCAACGCUUUGGGAGGCCAAGGUGAGUGGAUCACCAGAGGUCAGGAGUUCGAGUCAACCUGGCCAACAUGGUGAAACCCCAUCUCUACUAAAAAAUACAAAACUAGCCGGACGUGGUGGCGUGCGCCUGUAAUCCCAGCACUUUGGGAGGCUGAGACAGGAGAAUCCCUUGAACCCAGGAGGCAGAGGUUGCAGUGAGCCAAGAUUGCGCCACGGCACUCCAGCCUGGGCGACAGAGCGAGACUCCGUCUCAAAAAAUAAAAUAAAAAGGAAGGGAAGUUGAAUAGACUACAGCAUGGGUGGACCCUGAGUGAAAUAGGCCAAUUGAAAGGACAGAUGUUACACGAUACCAUUUAUCUGCAAUGCUAGAUUUGGGAGAGCCAUUGAGGCAGAAGAUAGGUGGUGGGUGCCCGGGGUUAAGGGGAGGGGACGGGGAGUCCAUGUGUAAUGGGGACAGAGUCUCUGGAGGGAUGACGCAUUCUGGAGGUGGACGGUGGUAAUGGAUACGCAUGAUGCUGCUGAACUGUGCACUUCAAAAUGGUUAAGACAGUAGAUUUUGUGUUUAUACAAUAAACCCAGAAAAGAUGUAUGCUGCACCACAAACCCAGAAUAGGUUUUACGGAGAUUUUCUUGGUGUUUUUGUUGUUGUUUGAGACAGGGUCUGGCUGUGUUGCCCAGGCUGGAGGGCAGUGGCACAGUCAUAGCUCACUGCAGCCUCAACCUCCUUGGCUCAGGGAAUCCUCCUGCCUCAGCCUCCUGAGUAGCUGGGACCACAGGCGCACACCACCAUGCCUGGCUAAUUUUUAUUUAUUUAUUUAUUGAGAUGGAGUCUCGGUCUGUCACCCAGGCUAGAGUGCAGUGGCAUGAUCUCAGCUCACUGCAACCUCCGCCUCCCAGGUUCAAGCGAUUCUCGUCCCUCAGCUUCCUGAGUAGCUGGGAUUACAGGCGCCUGCCACCAGGCCCAGCUAAUUUUUGUAUUUUUAGUAGAGACAGGGUUUCACCAUGUUGGUCAGGCUGGUCUCGAACUCCUGACCUCGUGAUUCGCCCGCCUUGGCCUUCCAAAGUGCUGGGAUUACAGGCAUGAGCCACUGCACCUAGCUAUAUUUUUAUUGUACAGACAGAGGUCUCACUGUGUUGGCCAGGCUGGUCUCAAACUCCUGAGCUCAAGCCAUCUAUCACCUCGGCCUUCCAAAGUGCUGGGAUUACAGGUGUGAGCCACCGUGCCCAGCCUACAAGGAUUUUCAUUCCUGCUUUGUCUGAAGUUGAAAAAGUUUUGGAAAAUCUAAGCAUCGUUUAAUAGAGAAUCGCUAAGUAAAAUGAGGCAGCAUCGUGGGUGGAAUAUCAGCACCAAAGCGCCAAGCCUUGUGGUUAAAGGUGGCAGACCAUCUUCAGUCUUCUUAGCCCCUUUCAAGUCCCCUACUAUAUCAGAAAGGGUUGGCUGGUUGCUUUUAAAGCACGAGCCGCAGAAUGGAGAGAAUGGGCGACUGGAAGGCAGGCUGAGGAUGGUGAGGGGCCCUGCUGGCCAGUCAGAGAGGUAUCCUGGCACCUGUGGGGCAGGUGAGCUGGGAGCUGGAGGUGUGAGCAGUGUCUGCACAGAGCCUUCUCUGUACGCUGGGCUCAGAUCAACGGGCUCAAGGGAUAGGCUGCCUCCUUGACUUCUAGGAGGCAGCAGCAUGAGUGGGAGUCGAGGGAGGCUGUCGCAGGGCGGCCUGGGUGGGAGCAACAGUGUCGGUUUUAGCUGGUUCUACCCCGUGGGACCUCCGUAUCUGUCUGGGCCUGGGUGUGGGUGCAUGAACGAGGACUGCUGCUCUGGGGAGGGAGUGUGCCAGGUGCCAGAAGGGCAGGAGGAAGACAUGGCUGUCCCCCCACACCAGCUGGAAGAAGGCUUGGGGGAGGAGGUGGUCAGGGAGCUCUUGUCUGCUGGCCUCAGCCACCUGUCGGGUGAGACCCAGAGCCAGGAAGACAGAGCUCAAAGGAGCCCUUCCCAGGCACCGCAGGCCUUGCUGCUUGUUGGCCCGCAUGCUGCAGCCCCACCCGUGGCCAGGCCCACCAGCAGGCCCGCCGGUUGGACACCUGGUCAGAGUGGGCUGGGGUCCAU